GACGAACGCUGGCGGCGUGCCUAAUACAUGCAAGUAGAACGCUGAAGCUUGGUUCUUGCACCGUGCGCAUGAGUUGCGAACGGGUGAGUAACGCGUAGGUACCCUGCCUGGUAUCGGGGGAUCACUAUUGGAAACGAUAGCUAAUACCGCAUAACAGUAGAUAUCGCAUGAUAGCUACUUGAAAGGUGCAAAUGCACCACUACCAGAUGGACCUGCGUUGUAUUAGCUAGUUGGUGAGGUAACGGAUCACCAAGGCAACGCUACAUAGUAGACAUGAGCGGGUGAGCGGCCAGACUGGGAGGGAGACACGGCACAGAGUGAUACAGAAGGCAGCAGGAGGGAAUCUUGGGGAAUGGACGGAAGUCAGACCGAGCAAGGCGGCGUGAGUGAAGAAGGUUUUCGGAUGGUAGAGCUCUGUUGUAAGAGAAGAACGAGUGUGAGAGUGGAAAGUUCACAGAGUGACGGUAUCUUACCAGGAAGCAACGGCUAACUACGUG
rnacentral:rRNA from 1 species